UUGACUAGAAGAGCUCCUGGUCAAGAUUUCUGCUGAAGAUAACACAUGAGCCCACCAACUUCAGUGGUGAUGUCCCAUUUUACCCUUGUUAGACCAAAUUAAGCACCUGUUUGCCGAGAAGUUAGCUUGCUUCAAAUUGCUUCAAUCACAUCAGCCUGAAACAAUUAAUGAAAAAGAAGCAGGCAUGGUAAUCAAGAGAAUGGCACCAGAGCUUAUGGAAGAACAAAAGGUCAUUGGUAGGGCAAUAUGGAAUGCUACGGAGCCUGGAAAUUUCCUGGCAGAAGAGGAGGUGGUGGUGGAAAGUAAUCACAUUCCUUUCCUUGCUGUGCCAUUCACUGGUGAGAGAAUGGGCCAAGUCAUUCUGAUGGAUCAGAGCUGAAGAUGGGACAACAGUCAAGGCAUAAAAAUGAUGAAGGAGAGUCACUGAUAGACAAGGAAGAGAGAUUCCUUCAAGAAAGGCAUUAGAAAAGGGAUAGAAUAGGAUUAAACCUAGAUGCCUGUUGAGUUUCCAGCUACUUCCUUUCCCUACAUCUUGUUUCAGACUAUGGGUUUUACCUUCAGAAGGGCCCACGAGAGACCUGGCCAUGAAAAAUCACUUGAUGUGAGUAGGCGCAGAGGAUUAUUUUCCUUGUUACCGUAGAGGGGCACAAUUGAUUCAAAGUUACUCAUUCAACGAGUCAUAAAUGCCAGUGAGAGUUGGGACUAGUGAGCAGAGUUUGUUCAAAACUAAUAACCAGGUGAUCUGUUUACAGGGUGCUGAAACAGGAGAGCUGUUAGCUUUUGCCAGAAGGACACUGCACAGCACUGGCUGUAUUCAGACAAAAGAAUGUGAAGAAUACUGCAGGAGCAUUGCUAGAAAGUCAUGGUGCCUUGAACCAACCCACUGACAACCCCAAAUCCCAAGCGAGCCACGCAAAUCUUCGUUCCCUGCCUGAAAACAACGAGCUAUAACUGGCUGGCUUUUUUUUUCCAUGUGCUUGAAAGCCUACCAAAACAUGUGGAUGACUGCUAAGCGCACACUAAAAGACACCUUACAUCCAUCAUGCAUGGGCUGCUCCUUCAGAGAGCACCGAAAACCUGCCUCGAACACCAGCAUUAGCAAUCUGAGCAGAAUCAGACGAUAACAGUAGCUGUCAGCUUUAUGGAGAUGCUUCUGAAAUAACAACUACAUGACAUCAUUGCUGGUGUGAAACCAGGCUGCCAACUUCUCUCCAUGCCAGCAAUUGAAUGGUGUGUUUGAAAGAGAGGUCCCCCGGGGUCACUGUAUGCUAGUUUGGCUGGUAACCUCCUGCUUCUUCAACAGGCGGAUUUGGCACCUGCCCUGCUAUUGCCUGGAGGGUAAACACCAUUCUCUCGGUACAUAUUUAGAGUAGUCUCCCAAUGAGUGUUGAUUUUCUGUCCCUGAUCUCCUCCUCCCGGAGAUUACCCUGCUCUGAGAUCUCCAUCUUUUUCCCCAUCUUCGUGCUGCAAGCAUUAGCAGUCUUUCACUCUGCCUCCUCCCUCCCUGGAAGAGUUUUCCUUUCUUUCUGUGCCUACUCAUCUUCAAACUGCUCCCAACUGCGUAUAUUCCAUGCUGGUGACAUGCAGAUGAACAUCGUAGUCAUGAUCCCACUCAGAUACUAAACAAGCCUCCCACCAAUGCCUAGUCCUGCUUUAAAGUGCUAGAACAUUUCAGAUUGAUUUCAGUCUCCUGCAAGCACCAGGAAAUCCUCUGGAGUAGGCAGACAGCAGCAAGUGUGCUUGCUGUGUUUAUACCUCAGAGAAUGGCUCAGCAUGGACUCAUCUCCAAAUGCACGUUUGGAGGGAAAAAGAGAGUAAGACCCCCAAGAUGAGGUAAUGGGUCCCACAGCCAGUUCAGAGCCCUGGCUCAAGUCCACCUCAGCACUCAAGGGAGGUGCUUCAGUGUCAGCAUCAACAGAUGGCAUUUUGCACAUCAACUUCUUUUAAAAAUCACGAUUGUGCCAGUUUUGUCUUCAUGCUUGGU